GAUGAACGCUGGCGGCGUGCUUAACACAUGCAAGUCGAACGAAAAGGCCCAAGCUUUCUUGGGUACUCGAGUGGCGAACGGGGGAGUAACACGCGGGGGUACUGCACUGAACUUCGGGAGAAGCCUGGGAAACUGGGGCGAAUACCGCAGAGAAUGUAUUGUUGGAUGCGAUUGAGUAGAGAAUGAUGGGUGUGGGAUGAGUUCGCGGUCUAUCCGCGUUGCGGUGGGGUAUUGGCAUACCAAGGCGUCGACGGGGAGCCGGCCCGAGAGGGUGUACGGCCGCAUUGGGACUGAGAGACGGCCCAGACUCCUACGGGAGGCAGAAGUGGGGAAUGUUGCACGAUGGGCGCACGCCUGAUGCAGCGACGCCGCGUGGGCGAUGACCGCUGUUGGGUUGGAAGAACAUUUCGGUAGGUACGAAGCGUUUUCUGACGGUAACUGGAGAAGAAGCCCCGGCUAACUACGUG
rnacentral:rRNA from 1 species